AUGGAUUUAGACAAUUGUAAUAGAGCCUAUAUGGGAUCAAAUUUUGAAAUGAUAUGGUUUUAGACAAUUUUAAUAGAGCCUAUAUGGGAUCAAAUUUUGAAAUGAUAUGGUUUUAGACAAUUGUAAUAGAGCCUAUAUGGGAUCAAGACCCUGCUAUAAUAGAAGACCCUUUAGAAAUUUAUGUUAAAUUUUUAUCAAUAUUUAGUAUCACUAAAAAUAAAGAUAGCAACAGCAAAAGAUUUCCAUAUGGCAACCUAAAAACAACUCAAAAC